AUGUUGGCCGGCAGCUUCACGGUGCCGAGGCUGACCCCGUCGUCGUCGGCCGGCACAAUGCCGCCCUUCCCCGGCACGGCGCACGGCGGCUUCACGGUCACCCUUGCCCUGAAACUGGGGAGCUUCGCGGCCUUGUUCCAGCCUCCGGCUUGGAAGCAACUGGAAGUGUGCUUCGGAAGCGUCCCUGAGGAGCAGGAGGAUGUGAUCCUGUGGACCAACAGCUGCCUUGCAGUCGCAGCUGCCAUGUUCUUUCCUUUCUGGGGAGGGACGGAGGCAGGAUGGAGAUUCAGGCUUGAGAGAGCACAAUAUCAGGGCCGGUUAAUGAGUGCUGCCGGUUAA
rnacentral:rRNA from 1 species